rnacentral:lncRNA from 1 species
GAACACACGAGGUGAUGGAUUUCAGUUUUAUAGCUAAAGCUGACUUUAGACAAUCUUUGAGGAUAUAAAAUGGCAAUGGCAUCUUAUAUCUACUCUGAUUCUAAAUGUUAUGCUUCCACAUUCAAGAGUAAGUCAAAAAUCAUACAAAUAAGUCAAAAAUCAUACAAAAAGGUUCCUUGCAGGAUCAGACACCAGAGAGUACGGUGGUUUCAAAAAUGCCCCGACAGAUAGAAGGCUUG